GUGCCGUGAUGGAUUUAACGAUCGACACAUCAUUCCGAAACGAGCGGUGUGGACAGCUAAUGACUGAGCACA
rnacentral:snoRNA from 13 species